rnacentral:rRNA from 1 species
GCCCAGUCGUAAACUUUUAUUCACAUUCACAUCGCCUGGGAACUACGAGCCAAGCUUAAAACCCAAAGGACUUGACGGUAUUCCACAUCCACCUAGAGGAGCCUGUCCUAUAAUCGAUAAUCCCCGCUAAACCUCACCAUUUUUAGCAUAACAACCUGUAUACCUCCGUCGUCAGCCCACCUCGUGAGUGAUCCUCAGUGCGCUUAAUGUCAUUUCAUCAAUACGUCAGGUCAAGGUGCAGUAAAUAAAAUGGGAAGAGAUGGGCUACACUCUCUAACUUAGAGUAUACGAAAGACUACAUAUGAAACUUAGUCGGAAGGCGGAUUUAGAAGUAAAAAAAGACCAUAAAGCUUUUUUUAACACGGCACUGGAAUGCGUACACACCGCCCGUCACCCUCUUCACAGGCCAUAAAAUUAGUACUUAACAUAAAAUAGCUUUCUAGAAGAGGCAAGUCGUAACAUGGUAAGUGUACCGGAAGGUGCACUUGGAAA